GGAAGCGGGUCACAGGUCCUACCGCGCUUCACCAACGUCGGUCCUUCAUUUCACACAGUUGCAGGAAGAGUCCUUUGCAAAAAUUCAUCAGAAAGGCUGCCAGAAAUGGAAGCGAAGCUUCGUGUAAUAAUUGAUGACCGGAUUGAGAAGCUGGUUCUACCAUCAGGGAUCCCCCAAACAGUGCAGGAGCUGCAAAGUGUUGUGAAGGAUACCUUUGGUAUUGCAGAUGACUUCAGUCUUCAGUAUAUGGACUCAGAAUUUGAAGACUACUUUACUCUUAAUAGAAGUGACCAAAUCAAACACAAAGACACCAUAAAGGUUGUUCCCGCUGCUCCAGUUGUUCUUGACUUGGUUCCACUUGAA